GCAGACACCCCCACAGAGCACUCAUGGCCCCCACAGAAAUACACCCACACUCAUCACAGCAAACCAAAACAAUCACACGCCGGUACACAAACACACACACCCCCGCACCAAUCCAGGCAGACACAAAGCUCACGGCGACAGGCAGAUCUGAUUCACACAGACACAGGCACAGGUGCUUCCUGAUGCCACCCUCUCUUGGUCACGUGCCAGCACUUGGAGGGAGGAAAGUGCCUCACCAGGCUGAGAUGCCCAAGGGACCCCCCAGGGAGGGAAAGCAGGACACACUGGGACAGUUGCUUCCAGCCCUGUCCACACCCUUGUGCCCAUCAGGUAUGCCGCUCACCCCCACCCCACCUGGACCUUGGUGUCACCUAGGAUUGCAGAGGCCGCCUUCAGCCCAGAGCCUGGGGCCUUGCCCACUGCCUCACCUCCCAGGAUAGGGCAUGCUGUUCCUUUCUCCUUCCCUUUCUUUGCUCUUGUGUGCCUGCCUUUAGCAAACGCCCACUGGGUGUGUGGGUACACUGCGGCCUUUAAAGAGAAGAGAAACACAUGAGGCUUACAGCAGGAGGCCCUGCCUAGGUUCCAAGGGACAUGGAGCAGGGUGGCUGUGUAGAGCUGGGGAGCAUCCCAAGCCUGUGCCAAGGUUCCAAGGACAAAAAGGGCAAGGAGGCCCAGUGCGGGGUGGUGGGGGAGCAGCUAGCCAGGGCCAACAGUGAGCCUCGCGCCUGGGCAGGUGUAGCCUUUAAACGCGGUGGGGGAACCAUGGACAGCAUCUAAGCAGGGACGUGCCGUGAGUCCUGGGGGUGCAGGGGUGUCUAGAGGGGAAGCUGGGAAGCAGGGGUCACAGCUUUCCGACUGGUGGCUGAGUGUGGGGAAGACAGGAGGGGCAGGUGUGAGAUGUACAGCAGACACAGCUGUGUGCUGGGGCAUGGUGGGCUGUGGUGAGAGAGAGGAGCAGGUCUUCUCCCCGCGUGUUCAGAGCAGAUCCAAACUCUUCUCCCAUUCCUUCCUCCACCGUGCAUCCUCAGCACCCCUCAGCACUGGCCUGUGUGGGCAGCGUGAGCACAGAGAGCAGGAGCUUGCCCUCAGAGGCUUCAGGGGGUCGCUUGUACCCAGUGGUAUGGUCAGCAUCAUGUUUGACCAAAGGGAGGAAGGUGGCUGUGACCAGAGCGAGGGGGGGUCCUGAUGCAGCUGGGGAGUCAGGCUCGAGUGCAUGCUGUGCAUGUUCUCUGCCUCUCUUCCUGGGGGGCAGGCGAGUCUCCAGAGCCUGGAGGACAAGUUAGCCUUGCGAAGGAUAGCAGAGGACCCAGCCCAGGGGUCCCCAAAAUGGAGCACCAACCCUCCAUGCAGGCCAAGCCACUGGUGAAUAUGCUGCAAAAAAUAUGCUGGAACUUCUAUGAAUACCACAGGGUGUGAGAAGAAAACAUUAGAACUUCUAUUUUGUACCUGUGUUACUCCACAACAAGAAAGCAAUCAGCUUGAUCAAUGCCUACUGUAAAGACGGCACCGCCCUCCGGAGGUCCUUUCUCAGCCCUGGUGUUCGGACAGCCACAUCCCCUCGCAGCAGGGGGAGGCCUGAAGCAUAGAGGGGCCCAUGCAGGUCUAUUCUGUUUCAGCGAAUUGCCUGGGAAAUAAUCCAGGAUCCAUUUCGUGUGGUCAUCUUGUCUCCCUGGUCCCCUCCAGCCUUUCCUCAUCUUUUGUGACCUGGUCACUCUGGAAGGGCGCUGGCCAGUUAGUCCACAGGAUGGGCCUCCCCUGGGGCUUUUCUGAUGCUUCCUUAUGAUGGCACUGGCAUCCUGAGGGGGAGGACCACAGAGAGGAGGUGCUCCUCAUCACACCACAUGGGGGUCCAUGCACCAGUGCCACUGCUUUCCAGGGCUCUUCACCUUCAUCACUGGUGGAGGUGGCGUCUGCCAAGAAGCAGAAAGUUGAGGCUUAGAAGGUGCACGGCCCUACCUCUUCCGAGGUGCCCCUGCGGGCUGUCUACAGACCAGGCAGCACAUGCCUGAUAGCAGCUGCAUAAGGAAAAGCAGGAGCCAGCUCGUGCACAGUGGCCUCAAGUGUGCACUGGGCAUGUUCUCUGCCUCACCAUCCCUGUGUGACAGAUGAAGCAUGGCAAGCCAGGCUCCAGAGAAGCAUCCUGAGGACCAGUGUUCCUAGGGACCUCAUUCUUCUGACCUCAUUCCUACAACGUUUUGUCACUGCAAAGGAAAUCACCAAGGCCAGCAUGACAGCCCUCAACAGAAGCCAAGGCCAAGUCCUCGAACUUCCUAGUCUGCACAAUGAUAGCCCACGCUCUCUCCAGAUGCAUCAUUUUGGCCAUUCUGAGUCUCUUGCUAUUCCAUAUGAAUUUUAGAAUCAGGUUGUCCAUUCCUACAAAAAAGUCAGCUGGUAUUCUGAUAGGAAUUGCACUGACUCUGUACAUCAGAUUGACACUUCUGAUGAAACUGAAAAUGCCACCAGGGAGAAGCAGCUGAGGAGGAUUUUUUUUUGUUUCACCCCAGCAAUGUGAGAGAUAGAAUGGAUGCCCUAAAGAAGAGGAUGCAGCAGAAAUUAGGAAGAGAUAAAGAAGAGCAACAUUCCUUAAGAAAUGCCCUAUGGUUGGGAAGAUAACACUUGUGCUGAGGUCGCUGAGCCACUGUGGAAGACAUCCAAGCUCCAUAAAGACAGGCUUCAAGGACCACAGAGGGCCAAGUGCAGGAGUAAGAGGCUGGCGUGCUGACAGUGGCCAAGGGCAUUGGAGGGAAGGACCUGUCAUCACUGGGCCAAGGAAGGAACUCCAGACUGCCUACUUCCAGAGGGCCUGCUGGGGAAUUUUAGCUUGAACUUGCCUGCCUUGACUAGGGCUUUCUGAGCAGCAGAUGAUUCUGCAAUGGUGUUAGUCCAGGCCUGGUUCUGCAUGACAUUGACCAUACUGUGCACCCUGGGGUCAUUAUGUCUUGGGCUUCAAGGGGCUCCAUGGGCUCCAGGGGGCUCCAUGUGACACUGCACAGAGCUCUCUCUAGGUCACCUGGAUGUGUCUCUUCCUAGGAACCCCAAAGAGCUCUCUCAACAAACACACCCACGAGUUCCAGGAGUGAGGCUGCAGGGAACAGCCUCACUCUCAGAGGGGAUACAGAAUUGUUCCACUGGACAAGGGCUGGGAUCGUCAUAGGAUGCCGUUGGCCUGUGGUUUCCAACAGAGGUGCAGUUCAUUGAACUGUGGUCUACAGUCCAUUCUCUAACUUGGGGACCCUUGAAGAAGUGUGGAAUCAUGACAACAACCCUGUUGGGAGACACUAUUAUUCCCAUCACAUGGAUGAGCACACGGAGGCAAAAGGAAGUUAUAUGAUUGUCUGAGAUCACCCAGUGAAGACUGUGUGGCUGGGAGUUGUCCCCAGUGUUAUCUGCACGCUGCUUCCUUUUGAUGCCUGGCCCUUCUUUAUCAAAAGAAGCAUUGGCAGAAUCUGGGUGUUUAUGGGUCAGCUCAAAAUAAAUUACUUUAUAUGUCAUUC
rnacentral:lncRNA from 1 species